UACGACUACAUAUCAGGCAUAUCAAUAAGCGGAGGAAAAGAAACUAACAAGGAUUCCCCUAGUAACGGCGAGUGAAGCGGGAAGAGCUCAAAUUUGAAAUCUUCAAGGUUUGACCUUGACGAAUUGUAGUUUAAAGAAGUGUUUUCGGUUAGAGGAGUAGUAAAAGUUCUUUGGAAUAGGACAUCAUAGAGGGUGAGAAUCCCGUAUUUGACUAUUCUUUCUAGCUUUGUGAUACACUUUCAAAGAGUCGGAUUGUUUGGGAAUGCAGUCCAAAAUGAGUGGUAAAUUUCAUCUAAAGCUAAAUAUUGGCGAGAGACCGAUAGCGAACAAGUACCGUGAGGGAAAGAUGAAAAGAACUUUGAAAAGAGAGUUAAACAGUACGUGAAAUUGUCAAAAGGGAAGCGUUUGACACCAGUGUUGUUUUCUCGAAAAUCAAUUAAAAAAAGUUGGAUUUUGUGUUGUAUUGACCUUAACAGCUUGCUUCACUCUUUUCCAGCUUUUUUUAAUGCACUUUUCGUUUAACAAGUCAACAUCAGUUUCUUUUGUUGUAAAAGGGUCAUUGGAAGGUGGCUUUCUCUUCGGAGAAAGUGUUUAUAGCCUUUGAUCUCUGCAAUCGGAGAGACUGAGGUCUGCAGCGUAGAUCCUUCGGGGUUAGAUACAUUUGUGCUAAGCUACAGCUUUUCAUAGACAACUUGUUGACUAUGUUUAGUCUUGUAACUUACCCGCUUAUGCUAUUUUACCUACGCUUAGGAUGUUGAGCGCAUGUCUCUCUCU
rnacentral:rRNA from 1 species